CUCGUAGUUGGAUCUCGGUGCCGGUCUGGCGGUCCGCCUCGAUCAGUCUCACUGCCAGUCCCGGAGCCAUCCCGCCGGCCUUCCCUCGGUGCUCUUUACCGAGUGUCUUGGGUGACCGGAACGUUUACUUUGAACAAAUUAGAGUGCUCCAAGCAGGCGCGUCCCGCCCGCAUAGCCCAGCAUGGAAUAAUGGAAUACGACCUCGGUUCUAUUUUGUUGGUUUUC
rnacentral:rRNA from 1 species